AGUUUUAUAGUCAAUAAUAUAAAUGAUAUUAAAUUGCAAAUUUAAAGGAGUAAGAAAAAUACUAAGACUU
rnacentral:tRNA from 1 species